GCCGCUGUAGCUCAGUAGGUAGAGCGCAUCCUUGGUAAGGAUGAGGUCUCGGGUCCGAAUCCCGACAGUGGCUCCA
rnacentral:tRNA from 1 species